AGAAGCGCUGGCAACUUAAACCUGCUCCUCAUGUACUCGACCCUGCAGACAGAAUUAUAAAGUCCUCGCUUCUGAGGUAUCUUUUGUGCUUUACUUUCCAACCCUUUUUUUCUGUAAAUAACCACUCUCGUUGGAGAACGGACCGGGAAACAUUAGAGCUGCACAAUGCUGAAGCCGGUUUUCUGCCUGUCAGGCACUUAAAGCUAUUCCACUCAUGGAUGAGAUAGGAGGGGUGCCGGAUGGAGAGGGGAGGGGGUAAUAGAUUGUGGUGCCGUGGAAAAGGGAAGGUCGUUUCAUUUCUGUAGUUCCAAGUUUCAGCGUGGUCUAGACAGCAGAUAUUUGAAAACUUUAAAUGGAAUAGACUGUUAUAAAGGAGGAUACUAUACUCCAAUUUAUGAUUCUCUAAACUAUGUUCUUUGGGUUGAAGAUGAAUGUGUAUGAGGAAAUCCUGGUGCCUGCUGGAAAGAAGAGGCUUUCAUUCUGGCAAGAUAUUCCCUCGCUUCACAGCAAGAUCUGUCCACAAGUCCGAAAACACUGAUGAGUGAGGACAUCCAUGUCCACAAAGAGAUGACUUAAUCACAAGAAGAUCGCUGUAUGAAUAAUAGAUGCAUAUAACCACAUUCAGCAGAAAAAGAGCCCUCCAGAUACAAGUUAGACAUGAGUUAAAAUGAGUUAUUAAAGAGGAAGAUUAAGAGAUUUGAAAUGCAAUAAACCAGAGAUUUAUAGGAUAUGAUAUAUAAAAUAAAAUAGUUUUAUCCAUCAAUAUUCAGUUAACAAAAUAAGUCAGUUGAUUACAACAAUUUGUGAACCUGUUUAAUCUCUGACAAAAGAAAUCAAAUGGACUCAAAAUGGAAUCAAAGACUUAAGUAUAAUGGUGAUAAUAAAAUAGUUUGUAUUAUUAUUAUUGCAUUUUGAGGUAAUGCUGAACAGUGUUUGUGUUACUGGGUAUUCAAGUUUGUAAUUGCUGUGUAAAUACUAAUUACCCACAUUCUAUACAUACACCAUCUAUGUAUUAGUGUUGUAAUUUUGUAAAUCUGCUUAUAAAUAUUGUACAUAUUAGUAAUUACUAAUAGGAAAAUGUAAUAUUUGCAACUCAGUGUAAAAAGUUUUUCUACAUCCUCAGGUUAAAGGAAUAUUCCAGGUUCAAUGUAAGUUAAGCUCAAUCGACAGUAUUUGUAGCAUAAUGUUGAUUACCUCAAAAAUGUAUUUCGAUUCAUUCCUCCUUUCUUUAAAAAAAUUCAAAAAUCAAGGUUAUAGUGAGGCACUUACAAUUGAAGUGAAUGGGACCAUUUUUUGGAGGUUUUAAAAUCUUCUGUUAAAACUCAUGUAUUAUUUGAGCGAUAAAGUUGUUUAAAUUGUCAUUUUUGGGUUUGUUGACUACAUCAUCAUGGCAAAUAUGCUAUAACUUUACACAGAAAAGGUUAAUAAGUGAUUUUAUUACACAUUUAUUACACAUACACAUUACACAUUAUCAUGUUAACAUACUUAUUGUUUAUGUCUUGUGGCUAUUCUUUUGAAAAAGUGAGUAUUUUAACAUUCAAAAGUUGGCCCCCAUUCAAAUCCAUUGUGCCUCAUUGUGAACUCGAAUUUUUCUUUUUUUUAAAGAAAAGGCCGGGCAAAUCAAAAUAAAUUUUUUGGGUAAACAUUAUUAUGCGAAAAAUGCUGUACAUUCAGCAUAACUUGUAUUGAACCUGGAAUAUUCCUUUAACAUUCAUGUAAAGGUCAAGAGUGUUGGUUUUAUUACAAUUACUUAUUCGGAAUACAUUAGGUGAAACAUUUGAACUCACUGCAUGGUGCAAAUAUGCUAAAGAAGAGACAGUAGGAGGAGGUUGAUUUGUUGAGCUCCUCUACCUUGCCCAAUCACUGUCUAUCUCUCUAAUUAUUGGACAGCACACCUCUAUGACAUCACACAGAGAGGGAAGUCUUACACAUUGUCGUUGUCAAGUCUGAUGACCCAGGCUGAUCUGUCUAUGGAGGAUGGGAGGGAAUGGGGGUGUCUGUUUAAAUGGAUGGGCAACAGAGGGCAUGGGAAAGUGUGGCGGGGUCACUGGACACGUGUGUUAUCAAAGAAAAGUAAUUAAACUGGCCAGCCCUUCAAGAUGUGUCCUGCUCCAUGUCCAGAAAUCCCAAACUGUGAUAGGCUGGAAUAUAGCUUAUUUACUCAAACUAAAAAUGUUGUGAAAAUGCUUCUAUUUUGCACUUUUCCAAUUUAAUUAAAAAAAGUUCAACUGUAUUUUUUAAAAUGACAGAUAAUAUUAUCAGCAUAGCAAUUUAAGUGAAAAGUUGAACUAAAACAUUUACGUGAAUUUCAGAAUUUCUUUAUAUUUCUUAUGUCCAUUUUGCUUUAAUGAUCUAGCAUGCAACUUGUAAGGAUUUUACAAAUCUGUGCAACGCCUGAUGAUCCACGUUAUCCAGCAUGAUUUGAGAAUGUUCCAAAGAGCAUUUUGUGUGCUUCAAUAGAUGCAAGGACGUCUGUAACAUUUGUAAAAGGGGUUA